GGUAAUCCCGCGGGAUUUGGAAAUGAUAAAUAGGGAUUACUGUCUCAUCUUCUCUCUCUUUCUGUUCGGGGCCUUGAUCUGUUCCUAUGGGAGUAAACAUUAAUUAGACUUGGUAUAGUUGUGUACAUUCGGCAUUUAGCGGCGUGGGCUGUGGCCUGAACAAUAGCCCAGUUUAGGAAUAAACCUGUGUUCUGACCUGCACACCUAGAGUCCGUCUCUUUUUCCUUUAUGACCCAGCCGGGUCAUUACAGUAUUAUUCUGUAGGAGGUGUUCCCAGUGCAGUACGGUACUAAGUAUGACACAGCACUGCAGAUUCUGGUGUGGGAGUUCUUCUCCAGAUUGGAGGAGCUGCUGCCGGUGCCCAGCUUUACACAGACAGCAUCUUGUCUCAGCCUUGCCUUCUCUGACCUGGAGGAGUGUGUUCAGUCUGUCUCUGACCCUGAGCACCUGAAGACACUGCUACAGCAUCAAAGACACCUUGUCUCGGUGUCUCACCGUGUCUCAAUCCUCUUCAAUGGCUGUGCGAAGCUGCAGGAUAUUGGCGGAAACUGGAAUACGCUGCCACACAUGUUGAUCCAGAGCAUCCCAAACAUGCUCAAUGGGUGACAUGUCUGAGCCGUGUGUCCUCUGAAACACGACCCAGCCAAGCCGCACUGCUUCUUGACACAAUGUCCGCUUAACCCGGAAGCACCAAUGUGUCGGAGGAAACACCGUACAUCUGGCGACCAUGUCAGCGUGCAUGCGCCUGGCCCGCCACAGGAGUCGCUAGAGCACAAUGGGACAAGGAAACCUCAGCCUGCUAAACCCUCUCCUAAACCCUCUCCUAAACCCUCUCCUAAACCGGACGACGCUGAGCCAAUUGUGCACCGCCUCAUGGGUCUCCCAGUAAUGGCCAGCUGUGACACAGCCUGGGACCCAGAUCUGUAGUGAACCCAGAUCUGUAGUGACGCCUCAAGCACUGCGAUGCAGUGUCUUAGACCACUGCGCCAAUUGGAAGGCCCCUGAGUGGUGCAUUAAAUUCUUUGGCAACAGCUCUGGUGGACAUUCCUGCAGUCAGCAUGCCAAUUGCACGCUCCUUCAAAACUUGAGACAUCAUUGUGUUGUGUGACAAAACUACACAUUUUAGAGUGGCCUUUUAUUGUCCCCGGCACAAGGUGCACCUGUGUAAUGAUCAUGCUGUUUAAUCAGCUUCUUGAUAUAGCACACCUGUCAGGUGGAUGGAUUAUCUUGACAAAGGAGAAAUGGUCACUAACAGGGAUGUUAGCUUUUUGUGCGUAUAACAUUUCUGGGAUAUUUUUUCGGCUCAUGAAACAUGGGACCAACACUUUACAUGUUGCAUUUAUAUUUUUGUUCAGUGUACAUGGUAGUUACAUGAGCAGACACCUUACUAUAAAGCACUUUGUGAUGUCUGAUGUAAAAAGGGCUUUAGGAAAAACAAUCUGAUUUACUUUUUUCCAACUUCAUUUUCAGUUCAUUGGGCUGCAGCCUAUCGUUUUUUCAACAACCCUAAAAAUGCACCCCUUCUAAGUGCCCUGGAGCAGUCAUCUUGUGUCCGUUUCCAUGCAGCAUCCUUGUGGACUUCCUGUUCUAUACUGUCUUUUUAUAGGAAAACAAACACAAAGUAACACCUGACCGACCCACUAACACCUCCCUCACACAACCAUGCACCAACAACGUACCAAAAGACUGGAGAAACACUGAACAAAAUGAGUAGAUACAGUACAGACAGUACGGACAGGCUGGAGUCAAGUAAUUCCCUUUUAAUUAAUUAUUAUUCCAAACAGAAAAGUCUUCAAUCUACUUUAUCCAAUUUCACUGUUAAUAUGAUCAUAAAGGAAAUUCUGUUUGCAUUGAUAAACUAGUGAGUUCUUCAAGACACCUUAGUGACAGAGUGCCUGGAACAAAGUUGAUCAGCACACAUUCACAGCAGUCCCCCACCCAUUCAUUAUACAGGGACUGUUUAGUGUAAGUAAUAAGGGUCCAUGGGGGUUAUUCAUUCAAAAUAAAACUACAGUUACUGUACAUUUGCCACUUUUUCCACGCAAAAAAAUAAAAAAAGGUGUCCUUUUUGUAGUGUACCAGUAUGUACCAGUAUGCAUAAAUACAAUCUCCAUAAAUUGUUAUAUCCAUAAAAAAUACAACUAGUUCAAGGUGAUAGUUUCAUGAAUAACCAUGUCUUUUUUGAAAUCCUUAGAACAUUACCAAAUGUACCAAUUAUUAUCAUGUAUUAGACAUGGCUAGAGUAAGUAGAUUUUGACUUUAUCAUUCUGCCUGGCCAAUUAUACCAAACAUUUGUCAUUUGGCACAGGAUCGAUAUGUAUUUGUCACACAGACACAAUGUAUGCAACAAACAACACAUGUAGUCUGACAAUGCUGCAGACCUUAUCCAAUGACAGGUUUUAUAGAAACACUGGACCAGCCAGAUGACUGUUCAAUCAGACAGGCCGGUGAAAUCUUUUCAUGCAACAGAUUUUAAGAAGGGUCAAUAUCAAACUCACAAUAGAUCCCACCUUCAUCUUUUAACACUUUCUUGGGUUAUUUACUUGCUCCUAAACACUGCCUCCCAAAAAACUGCUUUGAUGAAGCAUGAGCUCAAAUUAAAACAAGCAUUAUCAACAAUGGCAGACCUUGGUCAAGUACACAUCUAAAAUACAGUGCUCUUGAUUUAGCUUACGAAGUAAAAUGGAACCAAUGGAAUAAUCCCAAAAGUAUAAACUCCACCCACUCAGCAAUACCUCAAGUAUUUGAAAGUUGACAUACUGGUAUGUAUUUGACAAUGUCUGCCUCAGAGAAGUAUUCUUGUGAUAAAAUUAAUGCUGGGAGUCUGGGUGAGAUAGUGGUUGAGUGAUAAGAUUAAAAAGUGAAACCGCUUAUGUUUGUGUAAUCUCCAGUAAAGCAAUACAAUUUA